GCCUACGGGAGGCAGCAGUGGGGAAUAUUGCACAAUGGGGGAAACCCUGAUGCAGCGACGCCGCGUGAGUGAAGAAGUAUUUCAGUAUGUAAAGCUCUAUCAGCAGGGAAGAAGCAAGACGGUACCUGACUAAGAAGCCCCGGCUAACUACGUGCCAGCAGCCGCGGUAAUACGUAGGGGGCAAGCGUUAUCCGGAUUUACUGGGUGUAAAGGGAGCGUAGACGGUAUGGCAAGUCUGAAGUGAAAGCCCAGGGCUUA
rnacentral:rRNA from 1 species